rnacentral:rRNA from 1 species
GAGGGAAAGGCGAAAAGAACCCCGGCGAGGGGAGUGAAAAAGAACCUGAAACCGUGUACGUACAAGCAGUGGGAGCACGCUUAGGCGUGUGACUGCGUACCUUUUGUAUAAUGGGUCAGCGACUUAUAUUCUGUAGCAAGGUUAACCGAAUAGGGGAGCCGAAGGGAAACCGAGUCUUAACUGGGCGUUAAGUUGCAGGGUAUAGACCCGAAACCCGGUGAUCUAGCCAUGGGCAGGUUGAAGGUUGGGUAACACUAACUGGAGGACCGAACCGACUAAUGUUGAAAAAUUAGCGGAUGACUUGUGGCUGGGGGUGAAAGGCCAAUCAAACCGGGAGAUAGCUGGUUCUCCCCGAAAGCUAUUUAGGUAGCGCCUCGUGAAUUCAUCUCCGGGGGUAGAGCACUGUUUCGGCAAGGGGGUCAUCCCGACUUACCAACCCGAUGCAAACUGCGAAUACCGGAGAAUGUUAUCACGGGAGACACACGGCGGGUGCUAACGUCCGUCGUGAAGAGGGAAACAACCCAGACCGCCAGCUAAGGUCCCAAAGUCAUGGUUAAGUGGGAAACGAUGUGGGAAGGCCCAGACAGCCAGGAUGUUGGCUUAGAAGCAGCCAUCAUUUAAAGAAAGCGUAAUAGCUCACUGGUCGAGUCGGCCUGCGCGGAAGAUGUAACGGGGCUAAACCAUGCACCGAAGCUGCGGCAGCGACGCUGAUGCGUUGUUGGGUAGGGGAGCGUUCUGUAAGCCUGUGAAGGUGUGCUGUGAGGCAUGCUGGAGGUAUCAGAAGUGCGAAUGCUGACAUAAGUAACGAUAAAGCGGGUGAAAAGCCCGCUCGCCGGAAGACCAAGGGUUCCUGUCCAACGUUAAUCGGGGCAGGGUGAGUCGACCCCUAAGGCGAGGCCGAAAGGCGUAGUCGAUGGGAAACAGGUUAAUAUUCCUGUACUUGGUGUUACUGCGAAGGGGGGACGGAGAAGGCUAUGUUGGCCGGGCGACGGUUGUCCCGGUUUAAGCGUGUAGGCUGGUUUUCCAGGCAAAUCCGGAAAAUCAAGGCUGAGGCGUGAUGACGAGGCACUACGGUGCUGAAGCAACAAAUGCCCUGCUUCCAGGAAAAGCCUCUAAGCAUCAGGUAACAUCAAAUCGUACCCCAAACCGACACAGGUGGUCAGGUAGAGAAUACCAAGGCGCUUGAGAGAACUCGGGUGAAGGAACUAGGCAAAAUGGUGCCGUAACUUCGGGAGAAGGCACGCUGAUAUGUAGGUGAAGCGACUUGCUCGUGGAGCUGAAAUCAGUCGAAGAUACCAGCUGGCUGCAACUGUUUAUUAAAAACACAGCACUGUGCAAACACGAAAGUGGACGUAUACGGUGUGACGCCUGCCCGGUGCCGGAAGGUUAAUUGAUGGGGUCAGCGCAAGCGAAGCUCUUGAUCGAAGCCCCGGUAAACGGCGGCCGUAACUAUAACGGUCCUAAGGUAGCGAAAUUCCUUGUCGGGUAAGUUCCGACCUGCACGAAUGGCGUAAUGAUGGCCAGGCUGUCUCCACCCGAGACUCAGUGAAAUUGAACUCGCUGUGAAGAUGCAGUGUACCCGCGGCAAGACGGAAAGACCCCGUGAACCUUUACUAUAGCUUGACACUGAACAUUGAGCCUUGAUGUGUAGGAUAGGUGGGAGGCUUUGAAGUGUGGACGCCAGUCUGCAUGGAGCCGGCCUUGAAAUACCACCCUUUAAUGUUUGAUGUUCUAACGUUGACCCGUGAUCCGGGUUGCGGACAGUGUCUGGUGGGUAGUUUGACUGGGGCGGUCUCCUCCUAAAGAGUAACGGAGGAGCACGAAGGUUGGCUAAUCCUGGUCGGACAUCAGGAGGUUAGUGCAAUGGCAUAAGCCAGCUUGACUGCGAGCGUGACGGCGCGAGCAGGUGCGAAAGCAGGUCAUAGUGAUCCGGUGGUUCUGAAUGGAAGGGCCAUCGCUCAACGGAUAAAAGGUACUCCGGGGAUAACAGGCUGAUACCGCCCAAGAGUUCAUAUCGACGGCGGUGUUUGGCACCUCGAUGUCGGCUCAUCACAUCCUGGGGCUGAAGUAGGUCCCAAGGGUAUGGCUGUUCGCCAUUUAAAGUGGUACGCGAGCUGGGUUUAGAACGUCGUGAGACAGUUCGGUCCCUAUCUGCCGUGGGCGCUGGAGAACUGAGGGGGGCUGCUCCUAGUACGAGAGGACCGGAGUGGACGCAUCACUGGUGUUCGGGUUGUCAUGCCAAUGGCACUGCCCGGUAGCUAAAUGCGGAAGAGAUAAGUGCUGAAAGCAUCUAAGCACGAAACUUGCCCCGAGAUGAGUUCUCCCUGACUCCUUGAGAGUCCUGAAGGAACGUUGAAGACGACGACGUUGAUAGGCCGGGUGUGUAAGCGCAGCGAUGCGUUGAGCUAACCGGUAC